rnacentral:rRNA from 1 species
AGUAGUUUGAUCAUGGCUCAGGACGAACGCUGGCGGCGUGCUUAACACAUGCAAGUCGAACGGGGAUUAGAUGAUUGAGAGCUUCGGCAGGAUUGAUUCUAAUUCUAGUGGCGGACGGGUGAGUAACGCGUGAACAAUCUGUCCCAGACAGGGGGAUAACACUUGGAAACAGGUGCUAAUACCGCAUAAGACCACGGGAUCGCAUGGUUCUGGGGUAAAAACGGGCAACCGGGUUUGGGGUGAGUUCGCGUCCGAUUAGAUAGUUGGUGAGGUAACGGCCCACCAAGUCGACGAUCGGUAGCCGACCUGAGAGGGUGAUCGGCCACAUUGGAACUGAGAGACGGUCCAAACUCC